GACAAUGAUGGCUACGGGGUCUAAAAGGAUGGUCCCACACACUGGUACUGAGACACGGACCAGACUCCUACGGGAGGCAGCAGUGAGGAAUAUUGGUCAAUGGGUGGAAGCCUGAACCAGCCAUGCCGCGUGCAGGAUGACGGCCCUAGUGGUUGUAAACUGCUUUUACAUGAGAAGAAUAAUAGCUACGUGUAGUUAUAUGCCUGUACCAUGAGAAUAAGCAUCGGCUAACUCCGUGCCAGCAGCCGCGGUAAUACGGAGGAUGCGAGCGUUAUCCGGAUUUAUUAGGUUUAAAGGGUGUGUAGGCUGUGGAGUAAGUCAGUGGUGAAAUCUUUCGGCUUAACCGGGAAACUGCCAUUGAUACUGCUUUACUUGAGUAUAGUUGAGGUAGGCGGAAUGUGUAAUGUAGCGGUGAAAUGCAUAGAUAUUACCCAGAACACCGAUUGCGAAGGCAGCUUACUAAACUAUAACUGACGCUGAUGCACGAAAGCGUGGGGAGCGAACAGGAUUAGAUACCCUGGUAGUCCACGCUGUAAACGAUGAGCACUCGCUGUAGGCGAUACACAGUCUGUGGCUGAGCGAAAGCAUUAAGUGCUCCACCUGGGGAGUACGUCGGCAACGAUGAAACCCAAAGGAAUUGACGGGGGCCCGCACAAGCGGUGGAACAUGUGGUUUAAUUCGAUGAUACGCGAGGAACCUUACCUGGGUUUAAAUUUGGGAUGACGAGUUUUGAAAGAGGCUUUCCCUUCGGGGCAUUUCAGAAGGUGCUGCAUGGCUGUCGUCAGCUCGUGCCGUGAGGUGUCGGGUUAAGUCCCAUAACGAGCGCAACCCUUAUUGCUAGUUACCAACGAGUAAAGUCGGGGACUCUAGCGAGACUGCCACCGUAAGGUGUGAGGAAGGUGGGGAUGACGUCAAGUCAGCACGGCCCUUACGUCCAGGGCUACACACGUGUUACAAUGGCCGGUACAAAGGGCAGCUACAUGGCGACAUGAUGCUAAUCCCGAAACCCGGUCUCAGUUCGGAUCGGAGUCUGCAACCCGACUUCGUGAAGCUGGAAUCGCUAGUAAUCGCGUAUCAGCAACGACGCGGUGAUACGUUCCCGGGCAUUGUACACACCGCCCGUC
rnacentral:rRNA from 1 species